GACGAACGCUGGCGGCGUGCUUAACACAUGCAAGUCGAACGGAAAGGCCCUGCUUUUGUGGGGUGCUCGAGUGGCGAACGGGUGAGUAACACGUGAGUAACCUACCCUUGACUUUGGGAUAACUUCAGGAAACAGGGGCUAAUACCGGAUAGGAGCUCCUGCUGCAUGGUGGGGGUUGGAAAGUUUCGGCGGUUGGGGAUGGACUCGCGGCUUAUCAGCUUGUUGGUGGGGUAGUGGCUUACCAAGGCUUUGACGGGUAGCCGGCCUGAGAGGGUGACCGGCCACAUUGGGACUGAGAUACGGCCCAGACUCCUACGGGAGGCAGCAGUGGGGAAUAUUGCACAAUGGGCGGAAGCCUGAUGCAGCAACGCCGCGUGCGGGAUGACGGCCUUCGGGUUGUAAACCGCUUUCGCCUGUGACGAAGCGUGAGUGACGGUAAUGGGUAAAGAAGCACCGGCUAACUACGUG
rnacentral:rRNA from 1 species